rnacentral:rRNA from 1 species
UACGUAGGGGGCUAGCGUUAUCCGGAAUUACUGGGCGUAAAGGGUGCGUAGGUGGUUUCUUAAGUCAGAGGUGAAAGGCUACGGCUCAACCGUAGUAAGCCUUUGAAACUGAGAAACUUGAGUGCAGGAGAGGAGAGUAGAAUUCCUAGUGUAGCGGUGAAAUGCGUAGAUAUUAGGAGGAAUACCAGUUGCGAAGGCGGCUCUCUGGACUGUAACUGACACUGAGGCACGAAAGCGUGGGGAGCAAACAGGAUUAGAUACCCCGGUAGUCCCUGAGCGGG